GAAGAAGACAGCAGACAGAGUUAGUGAGGAGGCGUUCAGCUUGUUGUGGUUGGUAACAAAGUUAAGAAACAUCCUCUGGUUGCAACAGGAUGGGGUUCAUUUAUCUAUGAACAUGAUUCCCACCUGCAAUUAACUAUUAUUUUCAUUAAAUAAGUGUUUGCCAAAGCUCAAGAUGACGUCAUCAAAUGUCUUGUUUUGUCCACAACCUAAAGAUAUUCAGCGUACAGUCACAGAGGAGGAAAGAAACCAGAAGAUAAUCACAUUUAGAAGCUGGAAUCAGAGUCAUUCCCCCUGAAAAAAAUUACUUAAACCGAUUAAUGCAUCAUUUUUACUGAGGUGACUGACAGUAAGUCUCUGUGUGAGAGACUUUGGUGUGGCGUGAAGACACAUUUCACGCUGUUAUACACCUCAAAAUGGCAGCAAGAGAAGAGGAUUACCCAGAAAUCCUGCAAUGUGAUGUCAGUAAACUGCUCGCUGACGGCUGUUCCUGCAGCUGCUCUGUGACGUUUUUCAAAGAAAACCAGACAGAAAAUCUACUUUUAUAUAUCAGACACCGGAGCGACGACAUCACCUGCAGCCGACCACAGAGUCCGAUCACAGAGCAGGAGAAUAUUCAUCAAACAGUGAACGACAGACGGCAACAAGACAAGUGGAGGAGAAAAAUACACGAGAACAGGAUGUUCUGAUUCCCGGGUCGGGAGGUUGACGGGAACUAUUUCCUGAAUCACAGUAACCUAAAUAGCCCCGGUCCUCUCUGCUGGAAAGUUCGGGGCGCUCUGCUGCCCUGACAGCCCGGCUUCACAUCAGUGUAUCUCCACCCUCGGGGGGCUUUUCCGACCCGCUUCCCUCAGAUGUCGUAAUUAAGAAGCCCCUGCUGACAAACAGCUGAACUUCCACCGGCUUUCCAGGCAAUAAGUGCAUCAAUUCAAUCGGAGGGAAAACAGCAUAAAUUUGCAGAUUAAUGCAGACGCAGACGAGAUCGUGGGUUAAUCAAGCAACAUGCGUCUGCAGGUUUCAGACUUAAUGAAUUUAACCCUAAUAAAAGCAGCCAAUUAAAGUGCACACAGCUAAUACAAACAGUCCGCCUAAGUGCAUCCUUGAAAUGAUGAAUUCAUGAAUUUAUUCAGAGAUGCAGCAGGACAGCAUGUCGGGAGCGUUUCUCUUCCUGAAUGUGAUGUUAUCGCUUGUUAAAACAGGAUGUGAGGGGGAGAGGUGGGACCGCUCAAACGUCUCUGUGACGGCUUUAUUGGCUGCUUUAAUUCUUGUUUUUGUACCGAGACACAGUGAGAUAACAACGAAAGAUAACAGUGCUCAGGAAGCCACAGUAAUGGGAUUUUCAUUUCAUUAUGACUGCGUUUAUUAAAAAGGAUAUUCCUGCUUGUUAUUCUGAAUCAAUCUGAGAGUCUGUGCAUGCGGGACAACCCCACUGUGAGAAGGCAGCGCAGCGAUGUGUUCAAAUAACACUUAUACACCCACUAAUGACACAUUUCUCACAUGAAAUUCGCUGCUUCGUUUACAUGAAUAUAAAACUUUGUCAGACGGAUGUAAAGAGCGAUUAUGCAGCCGAGCCUACACGUUAAGAAAUGAUUAAGACCUUCACUGUGUUACCAGCCUCCUCAGUGAACCUGCCCGUCCUCCACGUCUACCAUCUUCAUCUCUACGCCUGCCCGGCUGGUGGUUCACAUGCCUGCGUCUCCCCGCUGAGCUCGGCCAUUUGUCACGCUGCGUGUGCUGCACACAUGUAUGGAUUUGUCUUGCUGCCCAUAUGCCUGCUGCUCAGCCUCCCUGCCAGCAGAACCUGCCAGAAUCCUGUGGUAUACUAUAGAUCAUCUGCACCAUGUCUGCAGCACACAACAUGUCACAUUUACACAUUUCUAAUUCUCUACGUCUUCUUUAGCAGUUUAUCUACCUACACUGACGAGAAAUGACGUUGCAAAGUGGAACUGUGAAAUGUUCUUGAUCCAUUGUUUUCAUUUGCUCAACAAAACCACAAAAAUGAGACAAAAACAAAUCUCGUCUUUGUGAAAGUAUUGGUACGUGUCCAAGGUGUUUUUUGGCACUGGAUGCCGACUGUCUUUCCCUCCUAUAACAACACAAACACUCCCGCUUGUCUGUCACCGAAAUGUGUUUCUAAAGUGCAAAAUAAUCCGUCUUCAUUUUAACUCAACAAUGUUUUGUUUCUUUAAGUUCUUUCUGGAUUUUCAAUCAUGCCGAAAGUCCCUCAUUAGCAUGAAGUAGCUUUGACUGAGUGUCGGGAAUCAAACUUAAAUACUUUCACGGCACCGACUGCCUCGAUCCCGCUGAGCAUUAAAGAUAUCUCGUCAUUCAGUACCAAGUUUCAGUAUCUAAGGAGUUAAUCUGCUCAGCGUGAGCGAGCCAGCAAGCAUGAAGCAUGCUUGAUAUGCCAAGAUCACAAGAUCUCAAGGCAUGCAGGGAAAAAGACUUAGCAUAAUGUAAUCUUUUGUUGAGACAGACUUCAGAAAACCAGAAUCAACAAAGGAAGGAAGCAGCGUCAAAGUCAAGGUAGUGAAGUUAUUAAAUGAUACUUCACUUUAUUACAAUCAAGAAUAAAAACCAGCAGAUACUUACAUUAAGAUGUUGGAACCAGCACAUUUUUAUCCUUUUUACUUCCAAAGUGACAAUGAAUCCUCGAGGAUACAUUUCCCCUGACUAACCUGUUAAUUCAGCACUAAUGCUAAAAGAAUUUAAAUCAUGUACAUCAUUUGUCUUCUCAGAUCUUCCUGGACUUGUGUCACCACCGUCCACGCUGCGCUGUGGUUUCUCCCCGACUAAUGUAUACAAAGUGCAGUAAUCCCAAAGAAAAUCGACUCCAAACUGCAGUUAUUUUAAGCCCCCGUGUGUUACAAAACCUGAAUGUAUGAGUAAUGCUUCCCUGAGUGAUUCAAACAUUCGGAGAUGUGCUGCCAGUCGGUCGACUCUCUGCCACGCUGAGCCUCGUUUACAGAGAACAUGACGAACUUUGGCUCACCAAGGACAUACGGAACGUAACCCAGAAUCACAGAGGGGCUGAGUGUUGAACGACGUCAAAACUAAUCGAUCGUAAAUGCAAAUAUCUGCCUGUUACGUCUUUGUGAAGCUGAUAUAAGUUGUGAAUCGUAAUGUAGUAAUAUUAUCAUAUCAUUAUCAUAUUAUUAUUUUAAAGUUCUGUUGAUAAUUAUGAUGAAAUAUAAGAAUUUAAGUUAUUUAAGUUGUUGUUUCAAAUGUCUAAAGACUCUAAAAAUCUAAUGAUAAUUUAGACAAGUGAUAAUAUCGUUUUGGUAAUCUAGCAACAAAAAUGUCAAACAUGCACUGUUUACAGCUCCUCACAUAUGGAGGACUGAAACUACUGAAUAAAAGGCUCAAUAAAUUAAUUAAUAUGCACCAAAAAUAAUAUAUAAAAGAUAAAUCAAGUCAAUAAUCAAUGUAUUAAAUGUGACAUUUUCUGUUUUAAACUUAAUUUCUUUGCUUAAAUUUUCAAUUUAUUCAUUUUAAAUGUAUUUAUUAAAAUCUGUAUACAUUUUCUAUUUGUCAUUCUUUAUUUUUGAAUUUUCUUUUCACAUUUGUUUUUGUCUUUCUGCACCAUUAUACAAAUGAGUGGGCUGUCAAAGUGGUUCAUGGAGUUCAUUUAUAUAUUUAUUUUAUUUUAUUUUUUGGCCUACAUACUUAGAUGCCUCUUUACUAUGUUUUAAAUCAUUUAAAAUUAAAAUUAUUUGGAAUUUGGGAGGGCUCCUAAUUAUCUUUGUUAUUUU